CCCUUAGACGUUCUGGGCCGCACGCGCGCUACACUGAACAGUUCAACAAGUCUUAACCUUGGCCGAUAGGUCUGGGUAAUCUUUGAACGCUGUUCGUGAUUGGGAUAGACCUUUGCAAUUAUGGGUCUUCAACGAGGAAUUCCUAGUAAACGCAAGUCAUCAGCUUGCAUUGAUUACGUCCCUGCCCUUUGUACACACCGCCCGUCGCACCUACCGAUUGAAUGGUCCGGUGAAGCCUCCGGAUUGGACGUGCUGACCCUGUCAGCCGGCCGAGAAGUUGGCUAAAUCUUACCAUUUAGAGGAAGGUGAAGUCGUAACA
rnacentral:rRNA from 1 species